rnacentral:tRNA from 1 species
AAGAUUUUAAGUUAAAUAAAACUAAAAGCCUUCAAAGCUUAAAAUAAAACCCUUUUAAAUCUUA